UACGGAGGGGGCUAGCGUUGUUCGGAUUCAUUGGGCGUAAAGAGCUCGUAGGCGGCUUGGCAAGUCGGGUGUGAAAACUCCAGGCUCAACCUGGAGACGCCACCCGAUACUGCCAUGGCUUGAGUCCGGUAGGGGACCACGGAAUUCCUGGUGUAGCGGUGAAAUGCGCAGAUAUCAGGAGGAACACCGGUGGCGAAGGCGGUGGUCUGGGCCGGUACUGACGCUGAGGAGCGAAAGCGUGGGGAGCGAACAGG
rnacentral:rRNA from 1 species